rnacentral:rRNA from 1 species
AAUGAACGCCCGCUCAAGGCCUCACACACGCAAGUUCGAGGGGCAGUACGGUCUUAGCUUGCUAAGGCCGAAGGCGACCGGCGCACGGGUGAGUAACACGUAUCCAACCUGCCGUCUACUCUUGGACAGCCUUCUGAAAGGAAGAUUAAUACAAGAUGGCAUCAUGAGUCCGCAUGUUCACAUGAUUAAAGGUAUUCCGGUAGACGAUGGGGAUGCGUUCCAUUAGAUAGUAGGCGGGGUAACGGCCCACCUAGUCUUCGAUGGAUAGGGGUUCUGAGAGGAAGGUCCCCCACAUUGGAACUGAGACACGGUCCAAACUCCUACGGGAGGCAGCAGUGAGGAAUAUUGGUCAAUGGGCGAGAGCCUGAACCAGCCAAGUAGCGUGAAGGAUGACUGCCCUAUGGGUUGUAAACUUCUUUUAUAAAGGAAUAAAGUCGGGUAUGGAUACCCGUUUGCAUGUACUUUAUGAAUAAGGAUCGGCUAACUCCGUGCCAGCAGCCGCGGUAAUACGGGAGGAUCCGAGCGUUAUCCGGAUUUAUUGGGUUUAAAGGGAGCGUAGAUGGAUGUUUAAGUCAGUUGUGAAAGUUUGCGGCUCAACCGUAAAAUUGCAGUUGAUACUGGAUAUCUUGAGUGCAGUUGAGGCAGGCGGAAUUCGUGGUGUAGCGGUGAAAUGCUUAGAUAUCACGAAGAACUCCGAUUGCGAAGGCAGCCUGCUAAGCUGCAACUGACAUUGAGGCUCGAAAGUGUGGGUAUCAAACAGGAUUAGAUACCCUGGUAGUCCACACGGUAAACGAUGAAUACUCGCUGUUUGCGAUAUACUGCAAGCGGCCAAGCGAAAGCGUUAAGUAUUCCACCUGGGGAGUACGCCGGCAACGGUGAAACUCAAAGGAAUUGACGGGGGCCCGCACAAGCGGAGGAACAUGUGGUUUAAUUCGAUGAUACGCGAGGAACCUUACCCGGGCUUAAAUUGCAGAUGAAUUACGGUGAAAGCCGUAAGCCGCAAGGCAUCUGUGAAGGUGCUGCAUGGUUGUCGUCAGCUCGUGCCGUGAGGUGUCGGCUUAAGUGCCAUAACGAGCGCAACCCUUGUUGUCAGUUACUAACAGGUUCCGCUGAGGACUCUGACAAGACUGCCAUCGUAAGAUGUGAGGAAGGUGGGGAUGACGUCAAAUCAGCACGGCCCUUACGUCCGGGGCUACACACGUGUUACAAUGGGGGGUACAGAGGGCCGCUACCACGCGAGUGGAUGCCAAUCCCCAAAACCUCUCUCAGUUCGGACUGGAGUCUGCAACCCGACUCCACGAAGCUGGAUUCACUAGUAAUCGCGCAUCAGCCACGGCGCGGUGAAUACGUUCCCGGGCCU